rnacentral:rRNA from 1 species
CGUUCCCGGGCCUUGUACACACCGCCCGUCACACCAUGGGAGUUGUUUACCUGAAGACGGUGUUCUAACCCGCAAGGGAGGAAGCCGGCCACGGUAAGGUCAGCGACUGGGGUG